UACGAAGGGGGCUAGCGUUGCUCGGAAUGACUGGGCGUAAAGGGCGCGUAGGCGGAUUGCUUUGUCGGGCGUGAAAUUCCAGGGCUUAACCUUGGGGCUGCGUUCGAGACGGGUGAUCUUGAGUUCGGAAGAGGGUCGUGGAAUUCCCAGUGUAGAGGUGAAAUUCGUAGAUAUUGGGAAGAACACCGGUGGCGAAGGCGGCGACCUGGUCCGAGACUGACCGCUGAGGCGCGAAAGCGUGGGGAGCAAACAGGG
rnacentral:rRNA from 1 species